rnacentral:tRNA from 1 species
GCGUCCGUAGCUCAGCUGGAUAGAGUACCUGGCUUCGAACCAGGUGGUCGGAGGUUCGAAUCCUUCCGGACGCGCCA